UAAUUUAUUGGGGGUAGAGCACUGAAUGUGCUAGGGGGCCUACAAGCUUACCAACCCCAAUUAAACUCCGAAUACCGAUUACAUGAUGUACAGCAGUGAGGCUAUGGGUGAUAAGGUUCAUAGCCAAGAGGGAAACAACCCAGAUCAUCAGCUAAGGUCCCAAAAUUGAUACUAAGUGAUAAAGGAUGUGGAAUCGCCCAGACAGCUAGGAGGUUGGCUUAGAAGCAGCCAUCCUUUAAAGAAAGCGUAACAGCUCACUAGUCAAGGGGUUCUGCGCCGAUAAUUUCCGGGACUAAGUAUCAUACCGAAGCUAUGGGAUUCAUUCGAUUCGAAUGAAUCGGUAGACGAGCGUUCUAUUAACUUGUGAAGGUUGACCCGUGAGGGCAGCUGGAGGAGAUAGAAAUGAGUAUGCUGGAAUGAGUAGCGAUAAAGCCUGUGAAAUGCAGGCUCGCCGUAAGCGUAAGGUUUCCUGAGUAAAGUUAAUCUGCUCAGGGUUAGUCGGACCCUAAGCCGAGGCCGAAAGGCGUAGGCGAUGGAAAACAGGUUUAAUAUUCCUGUACCAGUUUAAUAUUGUUUGAACUAUGGGGGGACGCAGAAGUGAAAGGAGAUCCCGGUUUUGAUUGUCCGGGUUUAAGAGUGUAGGGAGUUCUGAUAGGUAAAUCCGUUGGAAUAAUCCUGAGACUCGAAUAGGAGGGCUUAGCCCACAAACUCUCCCUAAUCCUGCUGCCAAGAAAAUCCUCUAUGUUAGAUAUUUGACUGACCGUACCGUAAACGGACACACGUACGCGAGGAGAGUAUCCUAAGGCGCUUGAGAGAAUCCAAGUAAAGGAACUAGGCAAAUUAGCCCCGUAACUUCGGGAGAAGGGGUGCCAAUUAAGGAAAAGAACUUCGCGUUCUGCUUUUUAUUUGGCCGCAGUGACCAGGCCCAAGCGACUGUUUACUAAAAACACAGGUCUCUGCUAAGUCGUAAGACGAAAUAUAGGGACUGACACCUGCCCGGUGCUGGAAGGUUAAAUGGAGAGGUUAGCUUCGGCGAAGCUUUGAAACGAAGCCCCAGUAAACGGCGGCCGUAACUAUAACGGUCCUAAGGUAGCGAAAUUCCUUGUCGGGUAAGUUCCGACCUGCACGAAUGGUGUAACGAUUUGGGCACUGUCUCUACUUGGAGCUCAGCGAAAUUGAAGUGUCGGUGAAGAUGCCGGCUACCCGCGGCCGGACGAAAAGACCCCGUGCACCUUUACUACAACUUAUCAUUGAAUACUGAUUCUGCUUGUGCAGGAUAGGUGGGAGACUUUGAAGCAGUAGCGCUAGUUAUUGUGGAGUCAUCCUUGAAAUACCACCCUUGUAUUGUUAGUAUUCUAAUCCCAUCCCGUGAAUCCGGGUGAGAAACAGUGGUAGGUGGGUAGUUUGACUGGGGCGGUCUCCUCCCAAAAAGUAACGGAGGAACCCAAAGGUUCCCUCAGCAUGGUCGGUAAUCAUGCGAAGAGCGCAAAGGCAUAAGGGAGCUUAACUGUGAGGUCGACGGACCGAGCAGGUACGAAAGUAGGGCUUAGUGAUCUGGUGGUUCCGUAUGGAAGGGCCAUCACUCAAUGGAUAAAAGGUACGCCGGGGAUAACAGGCUUAUCUCCCCCAAGAGUUCAUAUCGACGGGGAGGUUUGGCACCUCGAUGUCGGCUCAUCACAUCCUGGGGCUGGAGAAGGUCCCAAGGGUUGGGCUGUUCGCCCAUUAAAGUGGUACGUGAGCUGG
rnacentral:rRNA from 1 species